GAUGAACGCUAGCGGGAGGCCUAACACAUGCAAGCCGAGCGGUAUUUCUUCUUCGGAAGAGAGAGAGCGGCGUACGGGUGCGGAACACGUGUGCAACCUGCCUUUAUCUAUAGGAUAGCCUUUCGAAAGGCAGAUUAAUACUCUAUAAUAUAUUAAUUGGCAUCAAUUGAUAUUAAAAACUCCGGUGGAUAGAGAUGGGCACGCGCAAGAUUAGCUAGUUGGUGAGGUAACGGCUCACCAAGGCAAUGAUCUUUAGGGGGCCUGAGAGGGUGAUCCCCCACACUGGUACUGAGACACGGACCAGACUCCUACGGGAGGCAGCAGUGAGGAAUAUUGGUCAAUGGGUGCAAGCCUGAACCAGCCAUCCCGCGUGAAGGAUUAAGGUCCUAUGGAUUGUAAACUUCUUUUGUAUAGGGAUAAACCUACCCUCGUGAGGGUAGCUGAAGGUACUAUACGAAUAAGCACCGGCUAACUCCGUGCCAGCCGCCGCCGUAAGAC
rnacentral:rRNA from 1 species